rnacentral:rRNA from 1 species
GAUGGUUCGAUUAGUCUUUCGCCCCUAUACCCAGUUCAUACGAUCGAUUUGCACGUCAGAAUCGCUACGGACCUCCAUCAGGGUUUCCCCUGACUUCAUCCUGACCAGGCAUAGUUCACCAUCUUUCGGGUCCCAGCGUGUACGCUCUUGGUGCGCCGCAACUUGCAAUAAGUACGCGACGCCCCGGGAAUGCGAGGUAACAUAAAUAACGUUACCCAUCUUCCCUUUAUAAUAUAAUUAUAUAAAUUAUAUAUAUAUUUACUUUCAUUACGCCUUUAGGUUUAUUAUAAAUACCCAAUGACUUGCGCACAUGCUAGAUG